GCCACCAUGGCAUAGUGGUUUGAGCAUUGGACUACAGCUCUGGAGAUCAGGGUUCAAUUUCCUGCUUGAGCA
rnacentral:tRNA from 1 species